rnacentral:tRNA from 1 species
ACUAUAAUGACAGAAUAAUGUAAUGAGUUUAAGCCUCAUAUAUACCUAAUUUUUAGGUUUUUAGUA